GGAAAAUCACAGGACCCACUUUUGGAAGACAUGAUUAUCUUACAGAGCUUUAUAGCACCAAAAGGUGCAACAGGGAAAGACAUUACACCUGAAAUGUUUGAGUAUGAAAGUGGCAAGGUUGUUGAAGAAUUCCAGUUGAGGAUGAUUUAUGUCCCAGCGGAUCCACUGGUACCUGAAGGAUCUUGGGAAGGAUAUUCUGCUUGGGUUUCUUGUGUAGAGAAUUGGAUUCAAAACCUUUAUGUAGCUGAUGCUCUGCAUGUUCCUCUGCUGCCUAAAAAUUAUGGGGUAUGAUCUUCUGCGAGGGCAUCUGGUGUGGAGAAUGGGAAUGAUCUGCAUGUUCCUCUGCUGCCUAAAAGUUCUGGGGUAGGAUCUUCUACAAGGGCAUCUGGUGUGGAGAAUGGGAAUCAAAAAAAUUAUAUGCUUGAUGAUUUUAGAGAACGAGAAUCUGCUAACUUUGGUCAGUUAUUACUCGCAAUUUCGUCAUCUCUCUCUCUCCUUGAACAAGAGAAAAGUUUUUCUAGCCGGCAGACCCUCACCGCUCAGAUCUGGUCUGUUUUGGGCCGGGUCACUGGCACUAGUGUGCGGCAUCGGAAUCUUCAGAAGCAUCCAAUAAUAUUGGUUUAAAGAGAUUUGAACAAAUCAACUCCUAUUUUGGGAGCACAUGUUUUGGAAGAAGAAGAGGGCCCCGAUGAAGGAAGUUAAUUAAACCAAUACAAACAAGUAAAACAGACUUGUGACUUAUAUACACACUAAUGUUAUGCAAGUAUUUAUUUUAAUGGGCUUAGGAUAUUAAUGUUAUGCAAGUAUUUAUUUUAACUUAUAA